AGAACAACAAAGAACUGAUAUAAUUGCCACGAUGAAGCUGGGGCUGCAGGGAUUACCUCUGUGGAAUUAAGGGAAGCUGAUAAGAUUCUCCUCCUCCAUAAGGAUUAUUACAAGAGCGAUUGGGACUCGGGGAAAGAAAGCGGUUUGAACAGUAAGACUGCAAAGUCCUGAAAGAGGUUACUUGAAGCAAUUGGGAAAUCCUGAAAGCACCUAUCUGGAAGCUUUGGCUGAGACCAGGCCCAGAAGGACAGACAGACAGCACGUUCCUCUCCGGCUCUGUCCUUCUGCAGGGAAACUGAAGAUGGGUGUGUUUUGACCCAGAAUCCGCAGGGUUAGAGUUGAAUUUUACAAAUCACUUCAGGAUGCAGCGUUGAGACGGAAGACUUAGGAUUGGAGAAUUAAUUUUCUCUUCCUCCUGAGUAAAGCAGCUCUUCCUAAAGCUGAGAAUCUUAGCAGAAUGAAUAAACCAAAUGGCAGCAGUCCGGUAAGCACUGUAUGACCCUAAUCAUUCUGACCAUUUUGUACCACGUUUUACAGUGGCCUGAUUAAAUAGGAGAGAAUCCACGUGACAUGGUGCUCCUGAGAACAAAGCUAAAGUAUGCCAAUCAAACCAUGUGCCCUGGAGGAAAAACUUGGGGCACUCUCUUCUAGCAGCUAAUAAAAAAUAGGACAACACUUGAAUUCUACACGGAGAACUGUUUCUUACAUUUAGUUGAUACAGUAAGAAGUAACCAGCUACAGAGAAAUCACAAGAUCUGGAUUAGACCAGAACAUUUGUUUAUUAAAAUGUAAUUUAAGUAAUCAGAACCUUGUGAAUGUUUCAAACUGGAAACCCUAGAAAAUCUAAGUUUUCUCAUGAGAUAUUUUCUAGUAAACACUUCCAUUGCCCAGUCACACCUAUAAAGUGAGUAUGCACCUGUGUAUGAUCCCAUAAGAGCACUUUUAAAGUAACAAAACCACUAUAAUAUGAAGAGUAAUAUGAUAAUUUCCUUUUCAAACACUGAUUUUAUGAGAAGCGCUUGAUCCCAAAAUACCUGUAUGAGACCAGCUCACUCUUUCCUACAUAGAAUCAAUACUUUAUUGGCCUAUAAAUCUAAGAUGCAUAUAAUUCUUAAGUCUUCUUUUCAAACACUGCUAACUGUUAAAGUAUGUCCAUUAAAACUAAGGAAAAAUCAUUUUUAUAAAAUAUGGAUGAACCUAUGUCUAAACGAAGAUAUUCAUAAAGAUAGCACAAAAAAUGAGCCAAGACUCAAAUGAAUAAAAACUUCCCUGACUAUCCAAGUGCCAAGCAUUGUGUCUCUCAGCAUUAGAAUAUUAAGAAAUAGCCUUCCCGCAGUUGUAUGUACAGUGGUAUAAUUAGAAUAAAAUUGAAGUAUUCUUUGAAACAGAAGCCUUAGAAAAAUGAGUGAAGAACAUCAGUGGAUUUCCUAAACUGAUAUUCUGCGAAGCACUCUUCCAAAAACAUUAAUAAAUGUGCCACAAAAUAAAUGCCCAUGGUCAAACAAGUUUAGGAAAAACUCUGUUGUACAAAAUGCACUUUUCAUAUUAAAGGCACUGAGAAGUUCUGCAACAAAGAAUCAUGUUUAAUUGUAUUUAAUCCACCAUUUCCAAAAUUUGAAAUGAGAAAAUAUAAUACCCACCCCACUGCUGGCAUACCUUUUAUUAACCAAAAGAAUCAUUUCUUAGGAAAUUCUAAUUUGAGAAACAAUAGAUCGUUUAAAGAGAUCUGGUAUUUGCCUUUCUUACCCAAACUUUCAAAAGGAAAGGAAGUGUAUUGAAAAAAUAAUUUGAGGUUUUAUUGACUCAUGCUGUCAGUCGAAUGCUUUCUGUCCAUUUUUUUCACGAAUUGGGUAUAUUCCAGCCUCCUGGUCUCCCAGCCUUGGGGAGUGACCUUCCGUUUCCAGGGGAAAUACAGGUGCCCAGAACUUCCAGCAGGGGGCUCUGUCCGCUAGCACUGACUGUGAAGGACUCAAAGCUGGUUCAAGGUUAAGAUGGCUCAACAAGUGACGAGCCAGAAAUGUCAUCUGGCCACUAGGACGCCGCAUUAUGAAAGUGUGAUCAUGGUUCAAGAACGUUGCCAUGAGGAAAAUCUGUGCACGGAAUUACUAUUAUUAGGUUUUAUCGUGUGUGCAUUUUCAAACAUAGUAAGACAGCCCAAAAGGGAAAAAGUAGAACAAGCCAAAAAGUAUUUUAAAAAAAUAAUUAUCCAAUUAUAGGGCUCCUGUUGAAAAUAUUAAAAGAACUUAAAAGUUUCCCUACAUGGUUGACAACUCAAGUAUGCCCACUUUCUAUCAAAAAUAAUGCAGAAAAUACAAAAUGCGAGAGAAAAGUUGAAAAUAAAUGGAAAUAAACUACUUCCAUUGAAACAAGGGACAAAUAUAACUCUUCAGAAAUAAUGUCUGCAAAUGAGAGAAGCACAUUGUUUUGAGGAAGCUGUAUUUUGAUGAUGUUCAC
ensembl:lncRNA novel transcript